UGGGCUGCAAGUCAAAUUAGCUCUCCGUCAUCCUGCUCGCUGAGCGCACCGGAGGCUACUGCGGUAAGAUGCGGCGACGCACGAUGCCGAGCGGUGGAUGACAUGAUGCGCAAUGGCCGAACGAGUGGGGGGAGAGACCGAAAUUGGAUUCACUAACUGUGGUGUGCGGAUCAAAUUUAGACAAUAGGGCAGAAGCGAAUGCAUGUUUGACACAUUUGUAGUGCUGUAGCUCCAGUGGUGCAGGCCGACUGGAAGGAUGUGGUGGCGCUGAUCCCACUGAAGGAUGCUCCACAGCCCGAGGAGGGUUGAAUAGGCUUCGUCUGUAAACAACGAGGAAGCAGAGAGACAUUAAGUAAAGGACACAUAAUUCGGAAACACUGAGGCAUCGAAUGAGGUUGUUUUAUGACAGCUGAGUCAGCCCUCAGUGAUGAGAGAGUGGCCGACAGGGAGGGCGGUGAAGCUCUGAAGACGCCGUCACUGAGCGUCAGUCUGGAAGAAAACAAACCUCUCAUUAUCCUCUCUAUCAUCGGCGCUGACAGAUGGAUGUCUGACCUGGAUGUUUCUUUUCUUCACCUGGAGACUCUCAAAGUUAAGGAGCGAUAAAGGGAAACAUCACAUCUCCAGCUCGCUGUCAGGAAAACAACAUUCUAUGUUUAGUUUUGUUUGUCGGAAUGAACUCUUAAGAGAUUAGCAAAAGAGUCACCUCUCUCUUUGAGUGUCAAGUAAAUAUUUCGCCUUUAUCAGAAUGAAUCGGUGAGACAAGAGUAUUUCAGCUUUUUCAUACUGCUUAGUGUAUUUUUUCAAAACUAUGAUAUUUUUACCUUUUCAGCUGUCCCGCUCUGAAUCAAGAAUAGACUCUUGAUAGUGUCAGCGUUCUUUUUCACAAAUAGGAUUUCAACUUGACCUGACAGGCUGUAUUUUAAUAAAGCAUAAGCAAGGACAAACCAAUAAAACAUAGAUGAGGCCGACAACAAGCACCAUGCUCCAGCAGAAUAACAAUAACAACUACCCCUGCCUGAAUGUGUCAGGCUCCACCAGAGAGAUGCUCCAGAAGUGCUCCAGAGCCUCUCUGCCCUUCCCCAGCCGACUGGAGCUGGGCCUGGGAGACCUGCCACUGAUCCGGGGCCUCCGAGCCUGGGCCCUGUGCUCCAAGAACCGCCGGAAAGCCAGUGGUCUGCUAGGAGGAGGACAAGCCCCCAUAGCUCCUCCUGUGGGCCGCGGGGGUUCGACUUCCUGCCCCAAACCUGCAGAUGUGUACCUGAGCGGGGAGUGGGGUCGCAUGGGGUACGGGCUUCCCUUGGGGCUGGAUGCCAGGCAAGCUGGAAUCGGCGCUUUGGUAACAGUUGCCACUCUGAAGACUUCAGAGGGCAGCGGUAAGACACAGACUCAAUGCCUGUUCCUCCGGACUGAAAAAGGGAGCUGUUUGUACUCCACAGCUAAGCCCAGUUCUGGUGGGACUACCAGUGCAGCCUCCAGCGUGGUUGGGGGUUGGCUGAGAGGGAAGACAGGAGGAGGAGGAGGAGGCAGAGACAUCCCAGGCGGGAGGAGGGACAAUGGGCCAAAUCCGCCGGCACAUACUGGAGUAAACCGGGUUAGGGUGCGAUCUGGCCGGAGAUGGAGGAAGUCCAGUAAUGCAGCAGCCCGGGAGAAAACAGGCGCGAGCAGAGCGACUCAGCAGAGUAGCAGGGAGGAUCCUGCUGGAGAAAUCACUCUGGAAGAAAGGCAGGAAGAGCAAGACAAAGGAGGCCUGGCCAGUAAACAGUUUUCCAGCCCGCAGCAGGACAGCAAGAGAGCCAAACAGGAGAAAGAGGCAGCAUGCAGAAGUCCUAGAUGCUGCCACAAUGCUUCUCCAAAAACCUGUACUCGGUGUGGAAGGAGAGCACAGCGGAGGGAAAGCCAGAAUGGACACGAGAGAGGCGAAAGUCCAAGAAGAGGCACCUCGAACAGGAUGAACAUUGAGGUGAAAGGAAUGAGGAAGGAGAGGCAAAGGAAUGAGGAGGAGGAGAAGGGAGGCCUCUCCGGGUUAGAGUCAUCUAACUCGGUUUUGGCUGUACCAAACCCGAACCUUGAAUCUAACUACUUUCACCGAGAAUCCAACAGCAGCUGUGAUUUUGAAGAGAUUAGAGAAGCCGAGAGCAACAAGGAGCUGAAGACACAAACCUCUCACAGCAAGGACAACUGUUCAGAGAGAGAGGAGGAUACGAACUCUGACGUUAUGAAAAUACAUACAGAAAACAAUGAUUUAAUUCAUGGUCACUCUGGAACGCUCACUGAUGACGUUACCUCACGACUUAAAAGAGAUUUUGAUUACAGAAAGCCAAGUGAAAACCCCUGUGAAGAAAUAGCAGCUAAUCUGAAUGGAUUUUCUGAUCACGUGGAGGCAGAUCAAGAAUUGGAGAAAGAGAGGGAGAGUGUGGAUGUCGAAGAGGGGGAAGGGAGCAUCAAUCGGACUCCUGCAGAACUCUCGGCCGUAUCCGACUAUUCCACCUGCCCUGCCUCCAUCAGCACUGCAGUCUCCCUUGAGCCGUCCGCUCCUGUAGAGGGCAGCACCUGCAAUGUUGACCAUGAGACUUGUGUUCGAAGAGAGCAAGAGAUCAGCAGAGAAGAUCACCUUGAGAGGUAUCAACAAGGGGGUGUGGACCCAGGAAUCAUGGGUAAAGAAGAACUGGAUGAAAGUAGAUUUGACAAACGAGAACCAAACUGUGCGGUUGAGGAAAUCAACACAAACAGAAAACCAUGGCUUUUCUUUCAAAAGGCAGAAAACGGCAGCAAAAUAGAGGAAAGAGAAGCUUUGUCUUCACCUCCAGGACACGGAGAUCCUUCCAUCUUUGAUACAGACAACUGUAGUACAACUGAGCUUAACGGAGCAGAGCACAGAGAUGAGCUGGCAUGGGGAAAUAUAGAAGAGGAGUCACAGGAAGAGAAUAUAGAGAAGAGAGUAAACCGUGAGGAAGGGGAUGAAGCUGGGGAGAGUUGGAGGAGGGAGAGCAGCUUCAAUGAACUGGACAAUAGGGAGCGUAAAGGUGACAAAGAACUCCAGACUGAGCGUGACACAAAUGGCGAUGCCAUACAAGAGGAUAAUGAUAAAGAAGGAACGAGAAACUGUGCACUAAAAGACAAUCGGAGGCUGGAGGAGUCUGCGGACGCAUGCAGGGCAGGCAAGAAAGAGGUUGGAGACACCUGUGGACUAACAAGCAUCACCCAUGUUGAAGCAACUGGUGAGACCAGCACUAGCAUCACUAAUGUUGCCUGUGCUGAACCUUCCACCUCUCUUGCACUCUCCCUGGCUAAACCUUCCCCCAUUCCCCCCCCCCUAGGAUCCAUGGCAACCGGACUGCCAUGCCUGGAGGCAGAGAGGGAGAAUGAGGAGAAGGAAGGGGUCGGAGUGCCGGCAGGAGACGGAAAAGGAGGCCAGGAAGGGAAGAAAAGGCUCGGGAGACAAUUGGAGGAGAGGGGCUCCACCGUGGCCACUGAGGUGCGGAGGAAAGAGGAGGAGGGGAAGGAGGAAGAUGAGUUUGGAGUAUUCAUGCAUGCGGAGGGAGAGCCGGCUUGGAGCGAGGGAUACACCAUGUCUGCCUCAGUGCCUUGUGGGAGCAGAGAAAGUGUUGCACUUGGAAACAACGCCAUCACUGGGGAGUCGAACCACUGGACACCAGGCUGGACUGACAGCUCGUUCCACCAAUCAGACGACACGUGGACAGCCUUCCCUCAGGAUUCUUCGGAUGAAGGUCGAGACGUGGUGGGAAAGUGGUGGCAGACCAGCGCUGUGGAGAAGAGCAGAGACCUCUCGGCCAAUCAGAAUCUGGCGUCUGUCUUUGCUGAAGCCUUCCCCUCGCUGCCUGCUUCGUCCUCAACUGACCCCCGUGACCUCAACACUGUUCCCACACUGAGCCAACUCCUCAGGGGCAGAGACAGCCAGGACCAGGGGCCGUUGGACAGCUUCCAUGACUUGAACAAAAUGAUUUGCCAGAGAUACAAGAGAGCGAAUGGCGUGUCUCGUGAUCUGCUGCUGAGGACUUUACACCUAGAGCCGCUCCACACUGACAGCAGACCUGCUCCCUGGACAGCCAAUCGCCGUCUCUCACCCGGCCUUCCCUCAGCCAAUCAGAACGCUCAGAACGCUGCCGCUAAGCGACGGCUGUCGUAUGACUACAACAGAAACAUCAUGGAGUAACUGUGCGGGUUCAGCUCUGUUUGUACUGCGAUUCAUCAACUGACAGUUCGGACCGACACCGUGUUUCUCAAGACUGUGGAUUGACAACAUUUUUACUAUCUGUUAGUCAAAUACUGACUCACCUAUUGACUCUUUGCACUCUCUGGAUAACUAAGCCUGAGCCGGUGAGAAGAUAAAACUCAGAAAUGAAAAUGGAGCGACAGUUGUGUAUCAGAAGUUGUCUCCUCCAGCUCCUGUUGAUGUAUACUGGUGGAGUGUUUCCAUUACACAUGUGCCACCUUGUUCACCACCACCCUCCAUCCCUGAAGUUGUCCAUCCUGCAUUUUUUUUUUUUUUUACUCAGAAUAUUUAAAUUGUCCCUUGAUAGAAAUAUCUCUGUGACAGAGCUGCUGUUUUUGACAGAAAUGGUCUCAUUGUUUGAGUUAAUCUCAAUGGGUUGAGCCAGACAAAAACAUCGACUUGCAAGGAAUAAAUGAUAAGAAAAUAUAUAUCAUACAUGUUAUUUUUGCAUUCAUGAUUUUGCAGGUCAGCAUGCUUUGCUCACUAUCGUAUCUGUAUUGAUAUAGGCCAACAUUUCUUCCCCACUCUUCUCUUUCUAUUAACUUUUGCAAAAGAUGAGAUUUGUUAUCCAGAAUAUUGUCUCUGUGUCUCCACCAAAGCGCUGUCUAACUCAACACAUGAGAUUUGUUCAUCUUGUGGAGCAGCGCUGCCAGAAAGGCUGCAGAACGGAUGUUGUGUUCAUGUCACGUGGAAAUGGAAGAAAGCAAUAAGAGCAAAGGAUUUCUGUUACAACUUGCAAUCAUUGAAAUGAUCAGACAGUUCAAGAUGGCAACGUUACUGAUCGUGAAAUUUGCACAUUGAAAUAAUAAUUAUUCAGCACUGAACCUUUUGGGCGUUAAACGAUUAAUACAUUAUAAUUGCCAGAUUAGCAGUGAAUUAGUCGCAGUGAUGGAGCCAUUCAGGUUUUCUUUUUGUAAUUAUUCUGUAACAUGCUGUGUCAAGUAUAUUGGAGCUUUCUGAAAAACUACAUUUUUUAAUUAUAUUUACAAAUACAGUGACAAAAAGCUCCCAGAAAUGAUGCUUUUAUUUUGUUAGAGAAAAAAACAAGCAAUGACAUAAUGCUCCUUUUUGCUGUAACUCCAUUAAGACGGUAGCUUGACCAUGUAACCGCAGGAAAUCUUUAUUCAAACAUGCUGUAACCUCAACUCUCUACACCAGAAACCUGCAAUGUGACCGACUGUAUGGACGCAAACAUAUCUCUACAUGCUACAUUCAUGCUAUUGUCGAAGCUCAUUUCCUUCCCUUUCUCGUUUUUGAAAGAUAGAAGCAAAAGAAAAUCAUGUGAUCCCACUGGGGAGCAAAGUAAAGCAUUAUUUUUACUCGCAGAAUGCUGAAGAUGGGUCCAGGUGGGACGUGGCUUAUGAUUUUCCUUCACUUUUUUUGCAAAGCCUGCUUUCAUUGUGUAUUUGCUACAGAAUCUUUGGUUCCUCAGAGAAACGAGUUUGUCUUCCACUUAGUGCCAACAGGAACACCAAUGAAAGUGCCAAUGUAACGAAGCGAAGGAGACGUAGCCUCUUGUUUAUCAGACACACUGAAGUGGACUCCAACAAAUAUUCUGGCAUGUGACAAUGUCUUUCUUUAUCUCUGGCUUCCUGUCGGCCCCUUGUCCAUACUCAGUUGAGUCCACUUCACGGGACAAACUUGAAUCUAGCUGCCAAUCAAAACAAGGUCUUCAGAAUAUUGUUCACAUUGUAACCAUGUCGAUGAUGCACUGUACAUUUUUAAUUUAGACACACUACUACAUAUUAUCACCUCAGAUGGUUUAUUUCGCUCUACGUUGUAUAUUUCUCUUGUCAAUUUAAUGAUUUGUGGUGAAAUUCAGAAGUGUGUGUGUGUGUGUGUGUGUGUGUGUGUGUUUGUGCGUGUGUGUGUGUGUGUGCCAUUUGUACAAACUACAAAUUGCUGAAAAAGAUGAAUAUUUUCUGAUCUGUUCAAAUGUGGAGAAAGGAGUUGUAGCCUUGUUAACUGAUGUAAUAAAUUGAUACUGUGUGAUGGCUAACCGCUUCAGAAGUAUGUGACGUGUUCACUUUAAAAU
ensembl:lncRNA uncharacterized LOC115018160